CAAGGAAUAGUUUAAUAAAAAUAAUAAUUUUGGAGAUUAUUGAUAAAGAAGUAUCUUUUUCUUUGA
rnacentral:tRNA from 1 species